rnacentral:lncRNA from 1 species
AGUAGAACCAGGGAUCAAAUCUUAAAUUAUCUAAUAUAAAUCUUUGCGGAGACUUGGAUAUGCAGACUCUCUACUUCGCAUGUACAUCAGACGCUGCAGGAAAGCAGGAUGAACUUCAAUCCAAUUGACUUCGCAACUCAAUCAAUCGAGGGAUGAGAUGUGAUGAUGUGACACCUCAUACCAGUAGGUAGGAUGCCCAAGAAGGAUCCACGCCCA